GUGGAGUUCACCUUGCAAGAAUGACAGCACUUGGAUGUUGUUCAGCAAAACCUGUACAGAGAUGUGAUGCUGGAGAACUACAGCAGCCUGAUAUUCUUGGGUGAAUUACACUCCUGUGAAGAAAAAUAGCACCAGUAAAUAAUGAAUCAGCCAAUUCAUUUCCAGCUGCUAAUGGCCCAGAAGCCCAAUCAUCCGUAGCUAGGAUCCACAUAUGAGGG